rnacentral:rRNA from 1 species
GCUCAGAGCGAACGCUGGCGGCAGGCCUAAUACAUGCAAGUCGAGCGCGCCCUUCGGGGUGAGCGGCGGACGGGUGAGUAACGCGUGGGAAUAUGCCCUUCUCUAAGGAAUAGCCUCUGGAAACGGAGAGUAAUACCUUAUACGCCCUUUGGGGGAAAGAUUUAUCGGAGAAGGAUUAGCCCGCGUUAGAUUAGGUAGUUGGUGGGGUAAUGGCCUACCAAGCCUACGAUCUAUAGCUGGUUUUAGAGGAUGAUCAGCCACACUGGGACUGAGACACGGCCCAGACUCCUACGGGAGGCAGCAGUGGGGAAUCUUAGACAAUGGGCGCAAGCCUGAUCUAGCCAUGCCGCGUGAGUGAUGAAGGCCUUAGGGUCGUAAAGCUCUUUCGCCAGAGAUGAUA